GAUGAACGCUGGCGGCGUGCCUAAUACAUGCAAGUCGAGCGAACGGACGAGAAGCUUGCUUCUCUGAUGUUAGCGGCGGACGGGUGAGUAACACGUGGAUAACCUACCUAUAAGACUGGUAUAACUUCGGGAAACCGUAGCUAAUACCGGAUAAUAUUUUGAACCGCAGGGUUCAAAAGUGAAAGACGGUCUUGCUUUCGCUUAUAGAUGGAUCCGCGCUGCAUUAUCUAGUUGUUAAGGUAACGGCUUACCAAGGCAACGAUGCAUAGCCGACCUGAGAGGGUGAGCGGCCACACUGGAACUGAGACACGGUCCAGAAUCCUACGGGAGGCAGCAGUAGGGAAUCUUCCGCAAUGGGCGAAAGCCUGACGGAGCGACGCAGCGUGAGUGAUGAAGGUCUUCGGAUCGUAAAACUCUGUUAUUAGGGAAGAACAUAUGUGUAAGUAACUGUGCACAUCUUGACGGUACCUAAUCAGAAAGCAACGGCUAACUACGUG
rnacentral:rRNA from 1 species